GAUGAAGAACGUAGCGAAAUGCGAUAAGUAAUGUGAAUUGCAGAAUUCAGUGAAUCAUCGAAUCUUUGAACGCACAUUGCGCCCGCCAGCACUCUGGCGGGCAUGCCUGUUCGAGCGUCAUUUCAACCAUCAAGCCCCCAGGGGCUUGUGCUGGGGCCCUGCGGCUGCCCGCAGGCCCUGAAAACCAGUGGCGGGCUCGCUAGUCACACCGAGCGCAGUAGCACAUCUCGCUCAGGGCGUGCGGCGGGCUCCUGCCGUGAAACCCCCCACUGUAACCCCAAAGGUUGACCUCGGAUCAGGUAGGAAUACCCGCUGAACUUAAGCAUAUCAAUUAAGCGGAGGA
rnacentral:misc_RNA from 1 species